GUAUACUUCAGUCCACUGGGUAGGCUGGUAGACUGAUCUAUCCAGCACAGAUCUAGGUGGACACGCCCACUAGUGAUGUCAUAUGGGGCAGAUUUUCGAAACGGCUUGUAA